UACGUAGGGUGCGAGCGUUGUCCGGAAUUAUUGGGCGUAAAGGGCUCGUAGGCGGUCUGUUGCGUCGGGAGUGAAAACUCAGGGCUUAACCCUGAGCCUGCUUCCGAUACGGGCAGACUAGAGGUAUGCAGGGGAGAACGGAAUUCCUGGUUUAGCGGUGAAAUGCGCAGAUAUCAGGAGGAACACCGGUGGCGAAGGCGGUUCUCUGGGCAUUACCUGACGCUGAGGAGCGAAAGUGUGGGGAGCGAACAGG
rnacentral:rRNA from 1 species